GACGAACGCUGGCGGCGUGCUUAACACAUGCAAGUCGAACGGAGUGGGGACGGGUGAGUAACACGUGGGUAACCUCCCAUCAGAGGGGAUAACACUUGGAAACAGGUGCUAAACCGAUACUGAUGGAUGGACCCGCGGUGCAUUAGCUAGUUGGUGAGGUAACGGCUCACCAAGGCCACGAUGCAUAGCCGACCUGGGAGGGUGAUCAGCCACACCGGGACUGAGACACGGCCCGGACUCCUACGGGAGGCAGCAGUGGGGAAUAUUGCGCAAUGGGGGCAACCCUGACGCAGCCAUGCCGCGUGAAUGAAGAAGGCCUUCGGGUUGUAAAGUUCUUUCGGUGACGAGGCGUUAAUCACAGAAGAAGCACCGGCUAACUCCGUGCCAGCAGCCGCGGUAAUUC
rnacentral:rRNA from 1 species